rnacentral:rRNA from 1 species
ACCUGCGGAGGGAUCAUUACUGAGUUUACGCUCUACAACCCUUUGUGAACAUACCUAUAACUGUUGCUUCGGCGGGUAGGGUCUCCGUGACCCUCCCGGCCUCCCGCCCCCGGGCGGGUCGGCGCCCGCCGGAGGAUAACCAAACUCUGAUUUAACGACGUUUCUUCUGAGUGGUACAAGCAAAUAAUCAAAACUUUUAACAACGGAUCUCUUGGUUCUGGCAUCGAUGAAGAACGCAGCGAAAUGCGAUAAGUAAUGUGAAUUGCAGAAUUCAGUGAAUCAUCGAAUCUUUGAACGCACAUUGCGCCCGCCAGCAUUCUGGCGGGCAUGCCUGUUCGAGCGUCAUUUCAACCCUCAAGCUCUGCUUGGUGUUGGGGCCCUACAGCUGAUGUAGGCCCUCAAAGGUAGUGGCGGACCCUCCCGGAGCCUCCUUUGCGUAGUAACUUUACGUCUCGCACUGGGAUCCGGAGGGACUCUUGCCGUAAAACCCCCAAUUCUCCAAAGGUUGACCUCGGAUCAGGUAGGAAUACCCGCUGAACUUAAGCAUAUCAUA